GACGAACGCUGGCGGCGUGCUUAACACAUGCAAGUCGAACGGUGACCUCGAGAGCUUGCUCUUGAGUGAUCAGUGGCGAACGGGUGAGUAACACGUGAGUAACCUGCCCCAGACUCUGGAAUAACCCCGGGAAACCGGAGCUAAUACCGGAUACGAAGUGGAGCCGCAUGGCUACUACCUGGAAAGUUUUUCGGUCUGGGAUGGACUCGCGGCCUAUCAGCUAGUUGGUGAGGUAACGGCUCACCAAGGCGACGACGGAGAGCCGGACUGAGAGGUCGGCCGGCCACAUCGGGACUGAGACACUGCCCGGACUCCUACGGGGGGCUGCAGUAACGAAUCUUCCGCAAUGGGCGCAAGCCUGACGGAGCGACGCCGCGUGCAGGACGAAGUCCUUCGGGAUGUAAACUGCUUUUGGGGGAAAGGAAUCCCGCAAGGGUUGACCGUACCCCGAAUAAGCCACGGCUAACUCUGUGCCAGCAGCCGCCGUAACAC
rnacentral:rRNA from 1 species